UACAGAGGUCUCAAGCGUUGUUCGGAUUCAUUGGGCGUAAAGGGUGUGUAGGUGGCGCCGUUAGUCGGGUGUGAAAUCUCGGAGCUUAACUCCGAAACUGCAUUCGAUACUGCCGUGCUUGAGGACUGGAGAGGAGACUGGAAUUUACGGUGUAGCGGUGAAAUGCGUAGAUAUCGUAAGGAAGACCAGUGGCGAAGGCGGGUCUCUGGACAGUUCCUGACGCUGAGGCACGAAGGCCAGGGGAGCAAACGGG
rnacentral:rRNA from 1 species